rnacentral:rRNA from 1 species
AGAGUUUGAUCAUGGCUCAGAUUGAACGCUGGCGGCAGGCUUAACACAUGCAAGUCGAGCGGGGAAAGGUAGCUUGCUACCUGACCUAGCGGCGGACGGGUGAGUAAUGCUUAGGAAUCUGCCUAUUAGUGGGGGACAACAUUCCGAAAGGAAUGCUAAUACCGCAUACGCCCUACGGGGGAAAGCAGGGGAUCUUCGGACCUUGCGCUAAUAGAUGAGCCUAAGUCAGAUUAGCUAGUUGGUGGGGUAAAGGCCUACCAAGGCGACGAUCUGUAGCGGGUCUGAGAGGAUGAUCCGCCACACUGGGACUGAGACACGGCCCAGACUCCUACGGGAGGCAGCAGUGGGGAAUAUUGGACAAUGGGCGAAAGCCUGAUCCAGCCAUGCCGCGUGUGUGAAGAAGGCCUUUUGGUUGUAAAGCACUUUAAGCGAGGAGGAGGCUACUUAGAUUAAUACUCUAGGAUAGUGGACGUUACUCGCAGAAUAAGCACCGGCUAACUCUGUGCCAGCAGCCGCGGUAAUACAGAGGGUGCGAGCGUUAAUCGGAUUUACUGGGCGUAAAGCGUGCGUAGGCGGCUUUUUAAGUCGGAUGUGAAAUCCCUGAGCUUAACUUAGGAAUUGCAUUCGAUACUGGGAAGCUAGAGUAUGGGAGAGGAUGGUAGAAUUCCAGGUGUAGCGGUGAAAUGCGUAGAGAUCUGGAGGAAUACCGAUGGCGAAGGCAGCCAUCUGGCCUAAUACUGACGCUGAGGUACGAAAGCAUGGGGAGCAAACAGGAUUAGAUACCCUGGUAGUCCAUGCCGUAAACGAUGUCUACUAGCCGUUGGGGCCUUUGAGGCUUUAGUGGCGCAGCUAACGCGAUAAGUAGACCGCCUGGGGAGUACGGUCGCAAGACUAAAACUCAAAUGAAUUGACGGGGGCCCGCACAAGCGGUGGAGCAUGUGGUUUAA